rnacentral:rRNA from 1 species
AGCGUACACGGUGGAUGCCCUGGCAGUCAGAGGCGAUGAAGGACGUGCUAAUCUGCGAAAAGCGUCGGUAAGGUGAUAUGAACCGUUACAGCCGGCGAUGUCCGAAUGGGGAAACCCAGUGCAAUUCGUUGCACUAUCGUUAACUGAAUACAUAGGUUAACGAGGCGAACCGGGGGAACUGAAACAUCUAAGUACCCCGAGGAAAAGAAAUCAACCGAGAUUCCCCCAGUAGCGGCGAGCGAACGGGGAGCAGCCCAGAGUCUGAAUCAGCUUGUGUGUUAGUGGAACGGUCUGGAAAGUCCGACGGUACAGGGUGAUAGUCCCGUACACCAAAAUGCACAGGUUGUGAACUCGAAGAGUAGGGCGGGACACGUGGUAUCCUGUCUGAAUAUGGGGGGACCAUCCUCCAAGGCUAAAUACUCCUGACUGACCGAUAGUGAACCAGUACCGUGAGGGAAAGGCGAAAAGAACCCCGGUGAGGGGAGUGAAAUAGAACCUGAAACCUUGUACGUACAAGCAGUGGGAGCACCUUCGGGGUGACUGCGUACCUUUUGUAUAAUGGGUCAGCGACUUAUAUUCUGUAGCAAGGUUAACCGUAUAGGGGAGCCGCAGGGAAACCGAGUCUUAACUGGGCGUUAAGUUGCAGGGUAUAGACCCGAAACCCGGUGAUCUAGCCAUGGGCAGGUUGAAGGUUGGGUAACACUAACUGGAGGACCGAACCGACUAAUGUUGAAAAAUUAGCGGAUGACUUGUGGCUGGGGGUGAAAGGCCAAUCAAACCGGGAGAUAGCUGGUUCUCCCCGAAAGCUAUUUAGGUAGCGCCUCGUGAACUCAUCUUCGGGGGUAGAGCACUGUUUCGGCUAGGGGGUCAUCCCGACUUACCAACCCGAUGCAAACUACGAAUACCGAAGAAUGUUAUCACGGGAGACACACGGCGGGUGCUAACGUCCGUCGUGAAGAGGGAAACAACCCAGACCGCCAGCUAAGGUCCCAAAGUCAUGGUUAAGUGGGAAACGAUGUGGGAAGGCACAGACAGCCAGGAUGUUGGCUUAGAAGCAGCCAUCAUUUAAAGAAAGCGUAAUAGCUCACUGGUCGAGUCGGCCUGCGCGGAAGAUGUAACGGGGCUAAACCAUGCACCGAAGCUGCGGCAGCGACACUAUGUGUUGUUGGGUAGGGGAGCGUUCUGUAAGCCUGCGAAGGUGGCCUGUGAGGGUUGCUGGAGGUAUCAGAAGUGCGAAUGCUGACAUAAGUAACGAUAAAGCGGGUGAAAAGCCCGCUCGCCGGAAGACCAAGGGUUCCUGUCCAACGUUAAUCGGGGCAGGGUGAGUCGACCCCUAAGGCGAGGCCGAAAGGCGUAGUCGAUGGGAAACAGGUUAAUAUUCCUGUACUUGGUGUUACUGCGAAGGGGGGACGGAGAAGGCUAUGUUAGCCGGGCGACGGUUGUCCCGGUUUAAGCAUGUAGGCGGAGGUUCCAGGUAAAUCCGGUACCUUUUAACGCUGAGGUGUGAUGACGAGGCACUACGGUGCUGAAGUAACAAAUGCCCUGCUUCCAGGAAAAGCCUCUAAGCAUCAGGUAACAUCAAAUCGUACCCCAAACCGACACAGGUGGUCAGGUAGAGAAUACCAAGGCGCUUGAGAGAACUCGGGUGAAGGAACUAGGCAAAAUGGUGCCGUAACUUCGGGAGAAGGCACGCUGGUGUGUAGGUGAAGUCCCUGCGGAUGGAGCUGAGACCAGUCGAAGAUACCAGCUGGCUGCAACUGUUUAUUAAAAACACAGCACUGUGCAAACACGAAAGUGGACGUAUACGGUGUGACGCCUGCCCGGUGCCGGAAGGUUAAUUGAUGGGGUUAUCCGUAAGGAGAAGCUCUUGAUCGAAGCCCCGGUAAACGGCGGCCGUAACUAUAACGGUCCUAAGGUAGCGAAAUUCCUUGUCGGGUAAGUUCCGACCUGCACGAAUGGCGUAAUGAUGGCCAGGCUGUCUCCACCCGAGACUCAGUGAAAUUGAACUCGCUGUGAAGAUGCAGUGUACCCGCGGCAAGACGGAAAGACCCCGUGAACCUUUACUAUAGCUUGACACUGAACAUUGAGCCUUGAUGUGUAGGAUAGGUGGGAGGCUUUGAAGCGUGGACGCCAGUCUGCGUGGAGCCAACCUUGAAAUACCACCCUUUAAUGUUUGAUGUUCUAACGUAGGCCCCUAAUCGGGGUUG